AAACCAAUAAUGUUGCACAAAAAAAAGCAUGUCCUACAAAAUGUAAUGAAAAUGAACCGGAUUCUAUACAAGAAAAUAAAACCAAUAUGGUUGCACAAAAGAAAAUAGGUCCUACAGAGUGUAAUGAAAAGAAACCAGAUUCUUUACAAGAAAAUAACACCAAUAAAGUUGCACAAAAGAAAACAAGUCCUACAAAAUGUAAUGAUAAAGAACCAGAUUCUUUACAAGAAAAUAAAACUAUUCCUGUUGCAUGCGAGGAAACUGGCUCUACAGAAUGUGAUGACAGAGAACCGGAUUCUGUACAAGAAAAUAG